UUGUUUUUAAAUUAAAAAAGUUAAUAAUACUUAAAUCCAAUAUUUUGCCUUACAUUUUUUUCAUAUUUUACCUCACAACUUUUUUGAUGCAAUUUCUUGUUACAUGGGACCAAAACUAAGAAACUCUUCAUGCUUUCUUCUAUCAUUGAAGCUAAG